rnacentral:rRNA from 1 species
AACGAACGCUGGCGGCAUGCCUAACACAUGCAAGUCGAACGAGACCUUCGGGUCUAGUGGCGCACGGGUGCGUAACGCGUGGGAACCUGCCCUUAGGUUCGGAAUAACUCCCCGAAAGGGGUGCUAAUACCGGAUAAUGUCUUCGGACCAAAGAUUUAUCGCCUUUGGAUGGGCCCGCGUUGGAUUAGCUAGUUGGUAGGGUAAAAGCCUACCAAGGCGACGAUCCAUAGCUGGUCUGAGAGGAUGAGCAGCCACACUGGGACUGGGACACGGCCCAGACUCCUACGGGAGGCAGCAGUGGGGAAUAUUGGACAAUGGGCGAAAGCCUGAUCCAGCAAGGCCGCGUGAGUGAUGAAGGCCUUAGGGUUGUAAAGCUCUUUUACCCGGGAUGAUAAUGACAGUACCGGGAGAAUAAGCUCCGGCUAACUCCGUG